rnacentral:rRNA from 1 species
ACGAACGCUGGCGGCGCGCCUAACACAUGCAAGUCGCACGAGCGAGAGAGAGCUUGCUUUCUCGAGCGAGUGGCGAACGGGUGAGUAACGCGUGAGGAACCUGCCUCAAAGAGGGGGACAACAGUUGGAAACGACUGCUAAUACCGCAUAAGCCCACGGCUCGGCAUCGAGCAGGGGGAAAAGGAGCAAUCCGCUUUGAGAUGGCCUCGCGUCCGAUUAGCUAGUUGGUGAGGUAACGGCCCACCAAGGCGACGAUCGGUAGCCGGACUGAGAGGUUGAACGGCCACAUUGGGACUGAGACACGGCCCAGACUCCUACGGGAGGCAGCAGUGGGGAAUAUUGCACAAUGGGGGAAACCCUGAUGCAGCGACGCCGCGUGGAGGAAGAAGGUCUUCGGAUUGUAAACUCCUGUUGUUGGGGAAGAUAAUGACGGUACCCAACAAGGAAGUGACGGCUAACUACGUG